CCUACGGGUGACAGCAGUGGGGAAUAUUGGGCAAUGGGCGCACGCCUGACCCAGCAACGCCGCGUGAAGGAAGAAUGCUUUCGGGUUGUAAACUUCUUUUCUCAGGGACGAAGCAAGUGACGGUACCUGAGGAAUAAGCCACGGCUAACGACGUGCCAGCAGCCGCGGUCAUACGUAGGUGGCAAGCGUUAUCCGGAUUUACUGGGUGUAAAGGGUGUGUAGGCGGGAAAGCAAGUCAGAUGUGAAAACCAUGGGCUCAACCUGUGGCCUGCAUUUGAAACUGUUUUUCUUGAGUACUGGAGAGGCAGACGGAAUUCCUAGUGUAGCGGUGAAAUGCGUAGAUAUUAGGAGGAACACCAGUGGCGAAGGCGGCUUACUGGACUGUAACUGACGUUGAGGCUCGAAAGCGUGGGGAGCAAACAGGAUUAGAUACCCGAGUAGUC
rnacentral:rRNA from 1 species